rnacentral:rRNA from 1 species
UCCAGACUCCUACGGGAGGCAGCAGUGGGGAAUAUUGCACAAUGGGGGAAACCCUGAUGCAGCGACGCCGCGUGAAGGAAGAAGUAUUUCGGUAUGUAAACUUCUAUCAGCAGGGAAGAAAAUGACGGUACCUGACCAAAAAGCCCCGGCUAACUACGUGCCAGCAGCCGCGGUAAUACGUAGGGGGCAAGCGUUAUCCGGAUUUACUGGGUGUAAAGGGAGCGUAGGUGGCAAGGCAAGUCAGAAGUGAAACCCUCGGGCUCAACCUGAGGCAUGCUUUUGAAACUGUCAAGCUGGAGUGCUGGAGAGGUAAGCGGAAUUCCUAGUGUAGCGGUGAAAUGCGUAGAUAUUAGGAGGAACACCGGUGGCGAAGGCGGCUUACUGGACAGUAACUGACACUGAGGCUCGAAAGCGUGGGGAGCAAACAGGAUUAGAUACCCGUGUAAC